AAGCUUUGUCGAAUCUCUUUAUCACCUCUAUAUAAAUCCUAGUUGUCUUAGGGUCUCUUCACAAUUCAGUAUUCAAGUUUUUCUUCCCCGUUGUUGCUAUCAAACCUUCUCUUCAUUUAUAACAGAAGCAGUUGAAAUUUUCACUCUGGUGAUGAGUAUAGAAGCAAUUCAUUGUCAUGGAGCUUCCUAGUCAAAGUGAAUACCACAGUGAUUCUGUGGCUAACCCUGAUGGACUCGUAGGCGGUUUCAUUUCUCACAUUGUGGGUGAUAUAAUGACAAGCAAGCAAGACAUGGUAUCAGAUCAUGAACUUGAAGUGGUUCAAGUUAAGAUGAAAAUGAAAACUCAAAAUCCCUCGAGUUCAUCAGGUUGUGCUGCUCCUUUUUACUCACAUUCCCAACAUUAUAACAAUCUUUUACUCACAUUCCUAACAUUACAUAAAAUUAAAACGUAUAUAAUAAAUUAAAACGACACCUAACCCCCUAACAAAAAAAUCUUAUUAUAUAAAAAAUUAAAAUAAAAUGUAACAAUCAAGAGGUUGAGUUCUUGGUGUGGUAUUUCUGGGGAAGGUCUUAAUUUGCAAUGUUGGGCUUCAUUUUGUCUUAUGUGACAUUUAUAGCACUUGUCAUAUGAGACACCAUGAAGCCUGGUUGCAAAGAGAGGAAAUCGUCCCUGAAAAUAGCACUCCAAUAACUUUUCCAUUUUAUAAUUUGUUGCAGGUUAAGGCUGGUAGGCGCUUGGGAUGC